CUAAGUCAGAAUCCGUGCUAGAAACGAUGAUGUUGGUGUCGCACAUUAGACUUGUGUUUAAAUAGAGCUUUGCUCGUGAACCAAAUAUGGUGGGCUGGGUUGUCUUUGCGGAAACGCUUGGGCGACUUGUCUACGAAUUGUAAUCAUAAUAUGGGCGGCGGUGAAUCCUUUGCAGACGACUUGAAUGGGAACGGGGUACUGUAAGUGGUAGAGUAGCCUUGUUGCUACGAUCCACUGAGGUUAAGCCCUUGUUCUAAAGAUUUGUUC
rnacentral:rRNA from 1 species